rnacentral:rRNA from 1 species
UGAGUACGAGAUGCUACGGCAUCGAAGCAGUCUAUGUCAUACUUCCAAGAAAAGCUUGCACUGUCAGAAACAGAUAAUGCCUGUACCAUAACCGACACAGGUGGGUAGGUAGAGUAUACUAAGGGGCGCGAGAUAACUCUCUCUAAGGAACUCGGCAAAAUGACUCCGUAACUUCGGGAGAAGGAGUGCCUUAUUUUUAAGGUUGCAAUAACAAGAUCCAAGCAACUGUUUACCAAAAACACAGGUCUCCGCUAAGUCGUAAGACGAUGUAUGGGGGCUGACGCCUGCCCAGUGCCAGAAGGUUAAAGAAGUCGGUUAGCAUUCGCGAAGCUGGUAACUGAAGCCCUGGUGAACGGCGGCCGUAACGAUAACGGUCCUAAGGUAGCGAAAUUCCUUGUCGGGUAGUUCCGACCCGCACGAAAGGCGUAAUGAUUUGGAUACUGUCUCGGAGAGGGGCUCGGUGAAAUAGACUUGUCUGUGAAGAUGCGGACUACCUACACCUGGACAGAAAGACCCUAUGAAGCUUUACUGUAACUUGAAAUUGAAAUUGGACUUUAUUUGCGCAGUAUAGGUGGGAGGCGUUGAAAAUAUUCUUGCGGGAUAUUGGAGCCAUCAGUGAGAUACCACUCUUGUAAUGUUAGAUUUCUAACUUUAUAUCAUUAUCUGGUUAAAGAACAGUUUCAGGCGGGCAGUUUGACUGGGGCGGUCGCCUCCCAAAUGGUAACGGAGGCGCACAAAGGUUUCCUCUGAACGGGUAGAAAUCGUAUCUAGAGUGUAAAGGCAUAAGGAAGCUUGACUGUGAGACCUACAAGUCGAGCAGGGACGAAAGUCGGUCUUAGUGAUCUGACGGUGCUGAGUGGAAAGGCCGUCACUCAACGGAUAAAAGUUACUCUAAGGAUAACAGGCUGAUCUCCCCCAAGAGUUCACAUCGACGGGGAGGUUUGGCACCUCGAUGUCGGCUCAUCGCAUCCUGGGGCGGUAGUACGUCCCAAGGGUUGGGCUGUUCGCCCAUGAAAGCGGUACGCGAGCUGGGUUCAGAACGUCGUGAGACAGUUCGGUCCAUAUCCGGUGUAGGCGUUAGAAUAUUGAGAGGAGCCUUCUUUAGUACGAGAGGACCGAGAAGGACAUACCUCUGGUGUACCAGUUAUCGUGCCAACGGUAAACGCUGGGUAGCUAUGUAUGGAGUGGAUAACCGCUGAAAGCAUCUAAGUGGGAAGCCCACCUCAAGAUAAG